rnacentral:rRNA from 1 species
GAUGAACGCUGGCGGCGUGCCUAAUACAUGCAAGUCGAGCGAACAGACGAGGAGCUUGCUCCUCUGACGUUAGCGGCGGACGGGUGAGUAACACGUGGAUAACCUACCUAUAAGACUGGGAUAACUUCGGGAAACCGGAGCUAAUACCGGAUAAUAUAUUGAACCGCAUGGUUCAAUAGUGAAAGACGGUUUUGCUGUCACUUAUAGAUGGAUCCGCGCCGCAUUAGCUAGUUGGUAAGGUAACGGCUUACCAAGGCAACGAUGCGUAGCCGACCUGAGAGGUUGAUCGGCCACACUGGAACUGAGACACGGUCCAGACUCCUACGGGAGGCAGCAGUAGGGAAUCUUCCGCAAUGGGCGAAAGCCUGACGGAGCAACGCCGCGUGAGUGAUGAAGGCCUUCGGAUCGUAAAACUCUGUUAUUAGGGAAGAACAAAUGUGUAAGUAACUAUGCACGUCUUGACGGUACCUAAUCAGAAAGCCACGGCUAACUACGUG